UGGGACUGUGUUUUUGGUUUCGAUUUCUCUUUGCUGCUUGCUGUACAGACCUCUACCACACCAGCUGGCUAGGUUGCUCUGAGAAGAAAAACUUUGGAUACUAUCAAAGUUGAUCAAGAUUGGAGUUGAAAAUGAAAACCCUCUCGACAAGGAUAAAUGACAGGUAUUCUACAAAGGUGUAUCUUAUAGACUAAAUAGAAACCUCCCAAAGGAAAGGGAAGUGUUUUGCUUUUAUCUUCACAGGAAAACUCAUCUCCAGAAGGCAAAGGACACUCCAUGGGUAGAUACUUAAGAAGAGAAGGUAGCUAUAAACAUCAAACAAAAGGAACGUGCCAUAGAGUAAACUUUACAGCUGUCUCUCAGAGAACUCUAUUUCUCUUUUCUAGUCCCUAUUCAAUUAAACCAAUGCUGGAUUUAGAGGUGGAUUUGGCUUUCUUCCUCUAAAAUUCAAGCACAUUAUUUAACUAAAAUUUAGAGUUUCUGUAUUAUAUCAAGAAGCCAAUUGAUAUAAUACAGAAUAAAAGAAGAAUUUGGGGACUGUCUUUGUCUUUUCUUGGAUCUUUCUCUCAAGGUGUACAGCCUCUCAUAAUUGUUAUGCUCCCAUGAUUGCCUUUCCCAGUAUGUGUACAUUACAAGCAAACAUUUCUCUGUUAACUGUUUAUGUCUGAGUCCCACACAGCCAAUGAAGACCUGCCUGACAGCAAUCCCCAGACACCCUUGAAAGGACCACACCUCCUCAACUGCACUGGAUCCAACUUGCUCCAUUUCAACUGACACUCCCGCCAGAGCUUUGGGUACUGACCUCAAUCAAGUUGAGGAUUUCAAGCAAGAUCUUCCAUCAAGCAAAUCCCAUCUAACAUGGACUGGAUACAAUUCAUUCAAGACUCUUACUAUACUAACACUUUCUUCCUGCAGGACCCCACAAGGCUAUCAUUGUCCCAUUUCAGGAGGAAAUAACUUGGAGGAUGCUAUGCCCCCUUUUCCCCCAUUGUUAUCACUUAGGAUAGUGUAUAUACCUAAUUAGGGAUAGGUUACUAUUGUUUAUGGUUGGGAUUGGAAGGAGGCAUUUAGGCUUGGACACCUCUUUGAGAUGACUUCAGGGUUUAGUUAAAAUAGAUAGUUAGGAUGUGACAUAAGCAGAUUGUUGUAUCUUCUUAUAUUUUACCUUUAUGAUUGUUAAUUUUGAAUACUUUACACUGUUAAGUUUUAAUCCUCUUUUAGACUAAAAGGGGAAUUGUAGGGGAAGCUGCCUGCUUAGAGGUGUGUAUGACCACUCCUUUGAGUGCCUGGCCAGGGUGACAUAGAGUGAGAGUUUGGUGGCUGGGUUUUAAUUUCUGUUUCACUUGCUGUAUAGACUGCUGCCACACUGGCUGGCUAGGUUUCUCUGUAAGUAAGACUUUUCCCUAUUAAAUACCCUUGUAUUUCUACCUGACUCCAUAUUGGUAAUUUCCCACUUUAUAUACCUGUAUGCAAUUCUCAAGAAUAAAGAAAAGGC
ensembl:lncRNA